UCACAAGUAAGGUGAUAAUUGCAUUAAUACUAUAAGCUUUUAAAUCGUUUUGUGUAAUGAUAACAUUAAUAUCAUCUAAAAUUUAAAAUGUAAGCUAUUCUUAUACAAUCUGUUAUAAUAAUGUAAAAUUAUCAGCGUGUUUAUGAUUAAAAGUAUAAAGAUUAUCUGAAUUUUAAUAAUUUAAUAUUCAACGAGGUGAUUUUUCUACAGAAGCUAAAUAUGAGACAUAAUCCUUAUUUAUUAGAUAAGAAAUUUAUCAAGGAAAAAUAAUUUAAUUAUUAUUUUUUACAUCUUCAUUCGUGAUUUGCCAUCAUAAUUUUACAUCAUUGUUUCAAAUUCAAAUAAAAUAAAAAAUAGUAAGGAAUUUUUGUACUUAAAAUAAACUAUGAGAUUGUUACAAUAUAUUUUUGAACUAGUUCUCAUUGGAUAUCCAUAUAAACAUAUACAUAAAAAUGAAUUAAUAUUCUGUAGACUUGCUUUUUAUAGUGAGUAGUCAUAGUAAACGUAGUCCUGUACACUCUCAUUGCUAAAUAAUUUACGUCAUGUAUAACGCAUGGUAAGCAUUGAACAUAAUUUAACCAUUUACCAUACGUUGCUAGUCAUCAUUAAACAAAUUAUUUAUAAAUUAAUGAUGAGAUGUAAUAAAAAGAAAAAAUUCAUCUGUUAUUUGUCUACAAAUAAAACGAUAAGCAUUGAGUAAAAAUUAUAUUUAAAAUAUUUGAAAUUAAAUAGUUUUUAUUUACUCUACAAUACUUCACAGCAAUCCCCACAUUGAGUUUUAAACUCCGUUAUUUGACCUAAAAACUGGCCCAAAAAAUGAAUUCCAAAUUAUCUCUAAAAAAUAAACUUGGCCAAUAACAAUAGGUUCAGCUCUAGCCCUUUCCUCUUUAUUGAUAUUGUAACAUAUUAGACUGAGCCUAAUAUGUUAUAAUUGUAAACUGUAGUAUAUUUUGGAUUUGUAGUAUCACAGAUACUACAGGUACAAAAGGUCUAAAUUAUGUUUUAUUUGAUUUUCUUAAUUUUAUAACUAAAAAUUAUACCCCUGAAGCAUUACAAUGUGUAUUUUUUUGCAAAUAAAAUGUCUUUAAAAACAAACUUAUAUUGCGCAAUUAAAAGUAAUGAAAUAAUGGGAUUUAAUAACACAAAUUACCGUUAAACUUAUGAGUCUGCAAAGUAUCCAUUUAUGUUAAUGUUUAGGGAUAUAUAUGUAAAUCGGAAGCAAUCAAUAACAUAUUUUUUAAUGUCUAAUUCAUGUACUGGUUAGAACAUAAGAUGUUUUUUUUCCUCCUUUUCUUUUUUUAAUUUAUCUGCGAGGCACUUCAACUAUGCCGCACCAUUAAGCUAUAUUGAGUUUUAUUUAAAUUAUUUACUGCUAAAUAUAUAAUAUACUUGAACGACUAAUAAUCAAGUAUUAAUGAUGUUUACUGAAAUAUUUCAAAUUUUUUUUACUAAAAAGAAAUUAAAUAUAGCAGUAAUGAAAAAGCACAGGAAAUUAACUGUCUCAAAUCAUACUAGUUUUUAUGAAUUAAUCUAUUAAAUAACUAUAGAUUAAUCUAAGUAAUAAUAAUUAUUCAAUUUUUAUUAUUUUAUAAUUUUAAUUAUUAUCAUAACUUAAUAGUUCGAACUGUUUUGUAAGAAUUAAUGAUAUAGGUAAAAUUUUUAAUACUUUAAAAUAUUUAUUUAAUAAAAAUAACAUGGUGGAAGUUGAUAUAGUCAAAACUCGUUGAUAAAUGAUACUUAUCCAAGCUUCUGGACCAAAUAAAGACCUUCAUUAGUUUUAAAUGUAAU